rnacentral:lncRNA from 1 species
CCCAAGGUCACCCAGAGAAAUAGGCAGUACCAGCUCUGCAAAUCAAACCAAUUGCUUAAGCCAAACUUCUGUGAUAAACACACUUAAAGUAGGUGUGAGAGAAAAGUCAGAAGGGUUUAUCCCACUUGAGAUUAACAGGCAGUGUAGUUUGUCUUCAACUAAAGUGCUGAUGGAUAAAAGGCAAAAUCUGGUUAAAAAAAAGAAAAAACCACAGAAGAGCAUCCCCAGGACUUCAGAGACUAUAAAUAUAAUUCAGAAAGCUUUUGAAAAAAUGGAGUUUAGGAAACGGUCAUUCUGCAAGAGAAAUGAACAGCUACGAAAAGUAUACAAGUGCUGAUUUGAAAUCCUUUGCUCAAGUCACUUAACCACAACAAAUGUAAGAGUGAAGGCCAAAGAGUUACGCAGACACAUUGUCCAUUACUGUUCUUAACAUUUG